GCAUUUUAUGAAAGUAAAGAAGGUUAGUGUUCCUUUUGGCAUGGAUGGAAACGAUUCUGGUUGACCUGUACCACACAUGCAGAGAUAAGGCAUUACCACCCCUUUGUGGCACCUCAUCAUGUUUUU
ensembl:snRNA U6atac minor spliceosomal RNA